GAGUUUGAUCCUGGCUCAGAAUCAACGCUGGCGGCGUGCCUAACACAUGCAAGUCGAACGCGGUUAUUCAGCAAUGGAUAACUGAGUGGCGAACGGGUGAGUAAGACGUGGGUGACCUACCUUCGAGUGGGGGAUAACGUCCCGAAAGGGACGCUAAUACCGCAUAACAUCCUGCCUUUGAACAGGCGGUGAUGAAAGCCGGGGACCGUAAGGCCCGGCGCUUGAUGAGGGGCCCGCGUCUGAUUAGCUAGUUGGUGAGGUAACGGCCCACCAAGGCGACGAUCAGUAUCCGGCCUGAGAGGGCGGACGGACACACUGGGACUGAGACACGGCCCAGACUCCUACGGGAGGCAGCAGUGGGGAAUUGUUCACAAUGGGCGCAAGCCUGAUGACGCAACGCCGCGUGGAGGAUGAAGGUCUUCGGAUUGUAAACUCCUGUUGCCCGGGACGAAAAGCUUCGACCUAACACGUCGAAGUCUGACGGUACCGGGUGAGGAA
rnacentral:rRNA from 1 species